rnacentral:lncRNA from 1 species
GAGAAGCCCCUUCUUCCCCACCACAGUUUUUUUCUUCUUUCUCUCUCUCCAUAUUCUCUUCUCUCCCUCUCUCUUAAUUUCUCUCCCAAUCUUCAUCUAUUUUAGAAUCUGAUCAUACCACGCUGUAGCAGAGGAGUUAAGGAACAUUUCUACCCGAUCAGAUUUUCAAACAGAGUAAGUUCAUUUUUACUCUAAAUAUCCUUUGUUCUCUGUUUUUCCUUAGGAUCUAGUCAUCAAUCUUGGUGGGGUCAGUUGAGAAGUUUAAUCCUUUCAACUUAUUCUAUUAUAUACUGAAUUUUUGUUCUGUUUGGAUAAUUUGCAUUAGGCCCGUAAAUCUUGAAGCUUAUCCAAACGGUGGGGAAUAAAAUUCUAAAAGUUGUUUGGAAAGCAAGCAAUUGAGGUAAGGGAAGCUAAAUUUAAUUUUUUUAUAGCACCCUAGGAUAGAAGAUCUGAAUGCGGAAGGGACGUGGUCCCAAUAUUGAAUUUCUCUUGCAGGGGUGUUAUUUGUUUAUAUAUUGUGUGUUUGUUUAUAUAUUAUAUAAACUUUAUAAAUAUUAUAUUUUGAUAGUUUGAGAGUUAAAUAUUGUUUUUGAUGUUGGAAAAGUUCUGGAAUGAUAUGAAUUUUUAAAUGUUAUGUGAUUGAAUGAUAUGUAUUAUAUGCGGAUGAUGUAAAUUGUAUGAAAGUGAUGUCAUACAUUUGGGAUAAUGUAUGAGUUGUUGUUUGAUGGUACGUUAAGUAUGAAAAGCCUAUGUUUAACGGAGAUCCUCUGGCUUCACUAAUGAUCUAAGUCAUGUAGACUAAGAUAUUAGGUGGUGAGAAGCUAAGAGGGAGUUCAUACACACCGGGUCCCACUGUAGACACUCGGUAUUGGAUGUUUGAACUUACCCUGAUCCUUUCUAUUGGAUUCGCUGGUAAUCUUUGGGUCAAGUGUUAGUCUCUGGUAGGGGCAUACUUAAUGAGUCUUCCGGAAGACGUUGUUUGUUGAAUAUUCUGGAUGUGUAGAUCCAUGUUAGAUCUAUGUGAUUGUUUAUUGUUGAGAUUUGAAGAAAUUUGAAUAAUUUGAGAAAUUGAUCAUGUAAUUUGGUUUUCUCUUUUGAUUUAAUUGUGUAUAUUAUAAAAUUAUAUUUUCACUAGCUUACCCUUGCUUUUCUUGUUGUGUUUGAACUGCGAUGACUGUACUAUGUACACGAGCAGAUGACCAUACAGGUGCAGGAGAGCCUUAGAGGUUUCAGAGUUUUAUUUUGAUAUGUAGAUAUGUACAUAUUUGUAUUUCUAUAAAUCCUAAUCAUGUAUUAGGAAUGUUUUGAAAAACUCCAAGUUUGUAUAGAAAGUGGUAGAUCUUUUAUUGUAAUAAUUAUAUGUAAAUUAAGGGGUGUUACACUUUCUAACCAAUCUCUUGCUAUCAUUUAAAAAAUCUAUUUG